AAUCAACGCUGGCGGCGUGCCUCAGGCAUGCAAGUCGAACGAUUAAACUUUCCUUCAGGAAAGAUAUAAAGUGGCGUACGGGUGAGUAACACGUAAGUAAUCUACCCUCGAGUGGGGAAUAACAAUCGGAAACGAUUGCUAAUACCGCAUAAUGCAGCGGCACCGUAAGGUGGCAGUUGUUAAAGGAUUUAUUCGCUUGAGGAGGAGCUUGCGGCAGAUUAGCUAGUUGGUAGGGUAAUGGCUUACCAAGGCGACGAUCUGUAGCCGGUCUAAGAGGACGGUCGGUCACACUGACACUGAAUAACGGGUCAGACUCCUACGGGAGGCAGCAGUCGGGAAUUUUGGGCAAUGGGCGAAAGCCUGACCCAGCAACGCCGCGUGAAGGAUGAAGUCUUUCGGGAUGUAAACUUCGAAAGAAUAGGAAGAAUAAAUGACGGUACUAUUUAUAAGGUCCGGCUAACUACGUGCCAGCCGCCGCCGUAAUAC
rnacentral:rRNA from 1 species